rnacentral:rRNA from 1 species
AUUGAACGCUGGCGGCAGGCUUAACACAUGCAAGUCGAGCGCCCCGCAAGGGGAGCGGCAGACGGGUGAGUAACGCGUGGGAAUCUACCCAUCUCUACGGAAUAACGCAUGGAAACGUGUGCUAAUACCGUAUACGUCCUUCGGGAGAAAGAUUUAUCGGAGAUGGAUGAGCCCGCGUUGGAUUAGCUAGUUGGUGGGGUAAAGGCCUACCAAGGCGACGAUCCAUAGCUGGUCUGAGAGGAUGAUCAGCCACACUGGGACUGAGACACGGCCCAGACUCCUACGGGAGGCAGCAGUGGGGAAUAUUGGACAAUGGGCGCAAGCCUGAUCCAGCCAUGCCGCGUGAGUGAUGAAGGCCCUAGGGUUGUAAAGCUCUUUCACCGGUGAAGAUAAUGACGGUAACCGGAGAAGAAGCCCCGGCUAACUUCGUGCCAGCCGCCGCAGUAA